AUAGCGUAUAUUAAAGUUGUUGUGGUUAAAAAGCUCGUAGUUGAACCUUGGGCCUGGCUGGUCGGUCCGCCUCACCGCGUGCACUGAUCCGGCCGGGCCUUUCCCUCUGUGAAACCCCAUGGCCUUCGCUGGUUGUGGUGGGGAAGCAGGACUUUUACUUUGAAAAAAUUAGAGUGUUCAAAGCAGGCCUAUGCUCGGAUACAUUAGCAUGGAAUAAUGGAAUAGGACGUGUGGUUCUAUUUUGUUGGUUUCUAGGACCGCUGUAAUGAUUAAUAGGGACAGUCGGGGGCAUCAGUAUUCAAUUGUCAGAGGUGAAAUUCUUGGAUUUAUUGAAGACUAACUACUG
rnacentral:rRNA from 1 species